rnacentral:sRNA from 1 species
UUAGUAGAGAAGAACAAAAUCAUUUAGAUGUAUGGCUUGACAGUGAGUCGGGAAGAGGAAGAAAAAGGGUCUAAGAAUGGUUGGAAUGGGAACAUGGAGGAAACCUAAACCUUUAGUGGAAACUUAGUUUCAUGUUUUCCUGAUGCCUCUCAUUCCUAUUGUUCUUAGGUGCUCCUUCCUCUUCCUUUUGGCUUGCAUGAUCUGCCUAAGCGAAAACCAUCUAUGUAUUGAUUUGGAUGGCUUCGAUAGUUUUAUAGCGAGUUAGGAAGAGGAAGAAAUUGAGUGUCUAAGAACAGUGGGAAUGGAAACAUUAAGGAAAGCCUACAGUAUUUUCUUCUCCACUAGAAUUAGGGGUGGAGAUAAUUCUUUUGUGUUUUCCUAAUGCUUCCCAUUCCUAUUGUUGUUAGAUACUCCUUCCUCUUCCUUUUGGCUUGUACAAAGU